GGCCCAGAAAAGCACCCAGAAGAGGUGAGUAAAUCUUGAAGAAGAAAGCAGGGGAUGGUCAUGAUAGCUUACCCAAUCAAAUGCUUCGUACCAGGCCCGCUCUCAGCCUCUGAUGGGAAUGAACUCAUUUAAUCCUCCAACGACCCCACUGAUCUCAGAAAGGACCAGACUGAAGCCCAGAGGGGUGGGCAGCUUGCCCAGGGUUCUGUGGCUGGUACGUGGCGAACCGGGUCUCACCCUCUGACUCCAUCCCACUGCUUCGGGGCCAGGGCACCAGCUCACACAGAGGCUGUGCAGACCCGGGGUUGUGGAGUAGGCAAAGCAUGAUGGGGGGUUGCUGCUGAAUGGCUCAGAUCCUAGUGUGUGUGGACAGCUUGGGGUUUGCUGGUGGCGUGUAUGGCCGUGACCUUGGUUAGGGCAGAAACCUUUGGGUGAGGUGACAGUUGCCGUGAUGUCGUUUUGAGAGGGCUGAGGCCGUAGCUGGGGUUCCCAGCGUGUUUCCUCGCAGUCUGAACACGACAGGACCUGGGGUGUGGAGUGAAGGUGCAGGGCAGAGCUCAGGGAGCAGCCGGGGGAGGGGGGGGAAGAAUUCUCCAUGGCCAGAGCCCUGCCCAGCCCUUGGGGUCUGAUGGGGAAGGGGGAAGAUGCUGGGAGAGGGAAUCCGCUCUCGUUAAGGAGCCAGCUAAGAGCUUUGAAUCCUUCUUCCCUUUAAUUCUCACACCCCCCUGCAACCUGGGCUGAUCUAGUCCUACUUACAGGGGUGAAGGCAGAGAGAAGGCUGAUAAGCAGAUAGAGGCCAGGUCUGUCCUCUGGGGAUUGUGCUUUUCACCACAGUGGGGCCGCCAUGUUCUGAGUGGCCUCGGGUCCUGCCACACAGCUGGACCGAUGAGCAGGCCCCAAGGGUACGGUGCCAGUCUGGGUGGGGAGGCUCCUAGUGGUCAGCUGGGCAGACUCCAGCCCAACCCAGGCUCUGGUAGAAUGGCCUGGCUUCACGGGACUAGUUACCUGUCAGUGGGUGGCAUUCCUUGUGGUGGAGUGCAGAGGAGUCAGCGUCCUGGGUUCUGUGGACUGGCCUCCUGUCGGGCCCUGAUGCUGGGAUUGAGCUUCCGCUGCCCGGAGGACCUGCGGGCAGAGGGGAGCACGGCUUAGAGGAGGACCCUAGAUCAGGCGUGGAUUCCGGAAGCCCUUUCAGCCUCAUAAGCAGCACAAUCGGUCACAGCCCCUUCCCUGUCUUGUUGGCCACUCUGACCAUCCCCUCACGGUACCCCAGCCCGCGCCUCCCAGCUCAUUGAUUUGAACCUGGAGACCGUGGGGACACACAGAAGUCUUGGCUCAGCAUAGGCUGUUUGGUGGAGGAGGGGGAGUGUCUGACUCCCGACUACGGCCCCUGGGAAGCGGCUGCCUUCUGUAGAGGGAGGGCUGGGCUCCCCCAGGGCUGUGCCAUUUCCCAGUUUGCAGCCUCUUGCCUCCCACCCGGGACAGAGGGUCCGUGACUGUAAGCUUUUCAGGAGCAGUGGAUGUGACAGAGCUGAAAUGCUCACACUUCCUCUUAUGCUUUUUCUUUGAAAUGGGAGAGACGGUAGUGGCCUCCUGGGCCCAUUUUACAGACAGGGUAACUGAGGCCACGGCUGCUGGAGGAAGCUGAGCCAGGGCCGGUCCCUCUCAGAAUCUUGUGUCUUUAAGCUCUUGUUUGGAGAGGGUUUAGGGAAAGGAGUGGCUGGGGUUGGUCUCCGGGGCGCCUCCCAGGGUUCUCUCCUACCUGAACCAGGCCUGGCGUCUGAGGAAGUUAACGCCGGCUCUUCUGGUUGUGCGUCAGCGUCAGGCCCGGGACUGUCAUUUAGGAGGUGGGUCUCUGCAGGGGAAGACGGGGCCUGACAACCCUUCUCCUGGUCACACCGCACCCUCUGGUUCUUGGGCUGCCCUUGUCCACUUGCGAUUCCGCCAAGACUCCAGUCCACGGCUGCCUGUGGGCAGAAGGCACUGGGUUCUGACUUGUCUGGGUGGAGCAAAGGCUAGUCCUUCCUGGGCGUGCCCUGGGGCAGUGAGGCCAGUCUCUGGCCAGACCAAGCAUUGGGGAAAAGUGUGCCACUGUGGAGACCCGCGGCCCCCUGCCCAGCAGAGCGUCCCCUGAGCGGUGGGGAGGUGGGCCAGGGUCAGGUGAGGGGACACCAUCUUCACGCACCUGCCAGCCAGUCGACUGCGGACUCACCUGGAGUUGUCAAGGACAGCAAGAAAAAUAAGGGACUUUCAGGGGCAGCUGUGUUUUCUGACUCAAGUCAUAAUGCCCCUAAAAAUCCUUAUUGCUCUUGCAGUGGGCAUCGGGCAGUGGCUGGCAACCCACCCCUCACCCACCUGGCCGCUGAGGAAUGGGACGGGCUUCCAGGGGUCCAAUUGAGACUUGCUGAUUAUGAAAACGCGUUCGUUGGGCCGACGCAUUGCCUUGCAUAUGUUUUGACCAUUGUUCGGUGGUGGAUUGGAGUCUCCUGGGUUUGUGCGGGUGAAGGUUCAGAAGGGCCCAGCUGCACAUGCAGGGCACGAGGAAGGGCGGCCUUGGGGCCAGGUAGGUCGAGGGCCACAGUGUUGGGCUGGCCGGGUGCCCACUUUCCUGAGAAGCUGAAACCGUUGAGGGGCCCCUGGGCAGGAACUGGCACUGUGUCUUAACACAGAAAGAGCCUCAGUCCCCUCCCUCAGACCCAAUGAGCUGGCCAGUUUGCAAAUACGCCUGCAGGGGGUUCAAGCCUCCCCUCCCCUCUCCCCUCAGGUGACCCUGGAGCUUGCUGGGUGUUUUCUCUCCCUAUUUCACUUCCUGAAUCUCCUCCAUUCUCAGUAGAUGCCCCCAACCCCACCUCUUCUGUCCCCACCCCACAGAUAUUUCGGUUAAGCCAAGGCCUUGAGUGGGGAUUGUUAAGCAGCCAAAAUAUCAAUUUGUGACAUGUCCCCCCUCCCCCCUUAACCCAGGAACACCAGUCCAAGCAUGUCACCAUCCCACACUGGCUGGGUUGGUAGGGUGUGGUCCCAUGCACCAAAAAGUCCCUGGUUCGAUUCCCGGUGAGGGCACAUACCUAGGUUGCAGGUUCAGUUCCUGGUCUCGAUGCAUACGGGAAGCAGCUAAUCGAUGUUUCUCUAAAAUCAAUAAAAAACAUUUUUUUUAAGUCACCAAAUCCCACAGCAACAGAAUCUUCCUGUCUAGCUGAGGCUGAGCCCUGGGCUGCCUGUGGAUGGACAGACGAGGCAGUGAACAGGCAACAAGCCCCAUCUCGUGUCCCGUUGACCUACCGGUCAGCAGGGGCGAGUCACCCUCCAGGUAUUUCUCAGGUUCCCUCCCAGGUGCCGACUCGAAAGCUCUCAUCACUCAAGAAGACCAUAUGUGGAGCCUGGACCGCCAUGAUCCUCAUUCCUGGCCAGCCGGGCCCCUUGCUGCCCGGGCCCCUGUUGUCUGAGCCUGCCUCCACACCAGCUCUCCCAGACAGUUUCCAAGGGGCUGGAUUUGCACCGGACCCUCCUCGCUUUACUGCCCGAGGGGAGGGGCAGCUCCAAGAUGGUCCUCAGCUGAUGCUGUGAAGCAGCCAGAGCACUAUCCGCUAUCUGCCCACAAGUGAGAGGCAGGAGGAGGCUGCUCCAGCUGUGCCCCCAGAGGCGGAUCAGGCGAUGUGACCAUUUGCAGUUGGCAGACUUUCACUUCCUGUCUUUUCUCGGCUGCUCAGAGUCAUCCUUUGAUCCUCAUUUUACAGAAGGAAGACCGAGGCCAAGGAGAUCAGGAGACUUGCCCGAGGACACACAGCUAGGAUGUGGCAGAGGUGGGCCUGAGGUCUGCGGCUCCUGACUCCCAAGGCAGAGCCCUGUGACAUCACAGAAAAGCAGCCUUGGAGGACCUCGAAUGAGUCUGGGGCCUGUCCCUGACGACCUGGCCACUGCCGAGGUGCCUGGAGGUAGGAACAGUUGAUGACAUUGCCCCGGGGACGUGGAGAGAGGUGCUGGGCAGCAUCCAUGGCCCUUCUGACAAUACCUGUCUUUCCCUUCAGAGGAUCACCCCUCCCCCACCAAGUACCCCUGGUGUUCAGGUGGGGCCAGUCCCACCCCCUGGCUUGAGAGGCGGGCAUGUGUCCCAGGAUGGACGCUGAGACUUCCCCUCGGGACUUUUGCAGCAACUAUGAGGAAAGAGGCAUUCGGUUUUUGUGGGAGUUGCCAAGUGGACAGAAGUUGCCAAGUUUGGAACUGCUGGUGGCCAUCCUGUUCUCUGCUUGAGGAUAAAGCCAACAAGGAGCAAAGAGAAGGCGAGUGUAUUCUAUCCAGACAUCAGUAAGCCCCUGGAUCAAGCCGUGCCUGAAGCCAACUGCACCCCUGGACUAACCUGAUUAUAUGAGCCAAUGCUGUUUUCUCCGAACACUAUCUGGAGUUGGGUUUCUAUCAUAGAAAGGGUCCUAAGAACGACAAUGUUUUUCUUUGAUCUCAUUUUUAGAAAGUCAACAUUGAGGUAUACUUUACAUGCAAUAGAUUCCACCCAUGUUAAGUGUCCAAUUCAUAAGUAGUUAGAGUUACACCCUUGUACCUGUCACCAGCAUUCAAGUUCCCUCCUUCCCCAACUCCAGAGAACCACUGACCUACCUAUAUUCUAAAGGUUCAUUUUGCCUUUUCUAGAAUUCCAUAUAAAUAUCACAUAGUGUGUUCUCUCCUGUGUCUGGCUUCUUUUAGUCAACAUGUUUCGGAGAUUUAUUCAUGUUGUUGCGUGUACCAAUAGUUCAUUCCUUUUUGUUGCCAAGUAGUGUGCUACUGUAUGGACGUACCACAGUUUGUUUAUCCAGUUAUGGGAUGCUGACCAUUUGGACUAUUUCCAGAUUUUGACUAUUAUGAAUAAAACUGUUACAACAGCCAUGUGCAAGUC